CCCUUAGAUGUUCUGGGCCGCACGCGCGCUACACUGAUGCAUUCAACGAGCCUAUCCUUGACCGACAGGUCCGGGUAAUCUUUGAAUCUGCAUCGUGACGGAGAUAGAUUAUUGCAAUUAUUAAUCUUCAACGAGGAAUGCCUAGUAGGCGCAGGUCAUCAGCUUGCGUCGAUUACGUCCCUGCCCUUUGUACACGCCGCCCGUCGCUCCUACCGAUUGGGUGUGCUGGUGAAAUGUUCGGAUCGGCCGUUUGUCGCGGUUUCCGCGUCAUGUGGCUGAGAAGUUCAUUAAACCCUCCCACCUAGAGGAAGGAGAAGUCGUAACA
rnacentral:rRNA from 1 species